rnacentral:rRNA from 1 species
AGCGAACGCUGGCGGCAGGCCUAACACAUGCAAGUCGAACGGAUCCUUCGGGAUUAGUGGCGGACGGGUGAGUAACACGUGGGAACGUGCCCUUUGGUUCGGAACAACUCAGGGAAACUUGAGCUAAUACCGGAUGUGCCCUUCGGGGGAAAGAUUUAUCGCCAUUGGAGCGGCCCGCGUCUGAUUAGCUAGUUGGUGAGGUAACGGCCCACCAAGGCGACGAUCAGUAGCUGGUCUGAGAGGAUGCUCAGCCACACUGGGACUGGGACCCGGCCCAGACCCGUGGGGGAGGGGGCAGGGGGGAAUCUGGCGGAGGGGGCGAAAGCCGGACGCAGCCAGGCCGGGAGAAUGAUGAAGGGUUUAGGAUUGGAAAUUUCUUUCGGCGGGGAGGAAAAGGCGGUAACCCGUAAAAAAACCCCCGCCAACUUCGUG